rnacentral:rRNA from 1 species
AACGAACGCUGGCGGCAUGCCUAACACAUGCAAGUCGAACGCCUGUAGCAAUAAAGGAGUGGCAGACGGGUGAGUAACACGUGGGAAUCUACCCAGUAGCUCGGAAUAACCGCGGGAAACUGCGGCUAAUACCGGAUAAGCCCCGAGGGGGAAAGGAGCAAUCCACUAUUGGAGGAGCCCGCGUCUGAUUAGCUAGUUGGUGAGGUAACGGCUCACCAAGGCGACGAUCAGUAGCUGGUUUGAGAGAACGACCAGCCACACUGGGACUGAGACACGGCCCAGACUCCUACGGGAGGCAGCAGUGGGGAAUAUUGGACAAUGGGGGAAACCCUGAUCCAGCAAUGCCGCGUGGGUGAUGAAGGCCUUCGGGUUGUAAAGCCCUUUUGUCGGGGACGAUGAUGACGGUACCCGACGAAUAAGCUCCGGCUAACUUCGUGCCAGCAGCCGCCGCAG